GCAAUGGCUGACUAGGGUUCCGGCUCGCUAAGGCGAGUGGCUGGUCCGAGAGUUGGCGACCUCCAGUUGAGGUUACACGGCGGGACAAAAGCCCGGGAGAC
rnacentral:sRNA from 2 species